CUGGGCUCUGUCUUAUGUGUGUAUUUAUGUGCGUUUCUGUGAUGGGUGCACCGCAUAGGCUUGUUUAUUAUAAAUGCCCUGUGUGGAUCUUGUGAUUCUUGGCAAAUUAUUCUUUUUUCUCAGCUUUUCAUUAUCUGUAAAGUGUUAUAAUUGUCCUGCUUAUUUCAGGUUCUGUGUUUUGGCAACUUAUGCGUUUUUAUAUAUUAACACUUUUUUAAGUUUUUCUGGUCUUUAUAUAUUCAGAGGACCAGACCUUAACAUUUGCCAUUCUCAUUUUCUCUUCCUGGGUUUGUGAAGGCGUCCUGAUUGCGUCGUUUUCCAGUGUAAUUUUCAGAUGGGUGGUUUUGG
rnacentral:misc_RNA from 1 species